GCCACGUUGUGUGUAUUCCUGCGCACGACCAAAUUACUAACGUGACGGUCGGUCAUGCCCAGGAACUAUAUAACGGGGUGGGUCGAGACACCCCUCCAGUUGAGACUAGCGAUACAUAGCGAGCUUGAUGAGAUGUCCCGGGGAGAGAGAGGAGUGGAAAGGAUUGCUGGAGGAUGGGGGACAUCGACGUCACAUGUCAAGGGCCACGCGAUCGACUAACGGAAUAACCCGAGAUUUACCGAGACCUCACGAUGAAGGGAGCAUCCGUCGACAGUCAGAAAUAUGACACUGUCAUGGAGUUGCUCUCUUUACCGGUCAGGUCACUAGCGUCACAGAUCAUCACCGAUCAGACACCACUCAUCGAUCAGUGUUAAUUAUUGCUAACAACAUCAUCGUCGUCGUCGUCGCCGUCUCCGUUAUCUUCAUCGUCAGCAACAGCGUCGUCGUCGCUGUCGUUAUUUUUAUUAUUAUGAUUCGACCUUUUACUCUUUACCAUAACUUCUUAAACUUUACCGUACACUCUCUUAACAGAGACAUUUGGUGUAAACUCUUCCAUGUAACCGGUAUCAUUUGUUAAUAAACGAACACAUUUGUA